rnacentral:rRNA from 1 species
UACGUAGGCAGCGAGCGUUGUUCGGAGUUACUGGGCGUAAAGGGUGUGUAGGCGGUUUUCUAAGUUUGGUGUGAAAUCUCCCGGCUCAACCGGGAGGGUGCGCCGAAAACUGGGAGACUAGAGUGCGGGAUGGGAGAGUAGAAUUCCUGGUGUAGCGGUGAAAUGCGUAGAUAUCAGGAGGAAUACCGGUGGUGUAGACGGCUCUCUGGACCGCCACUGACGCUGAGGCACGAAAGCGUGGGUAGCAAACAGG